UAUGUACAUGCCUACAACGUUAAUGCAUCGGAUCUCAUAAGAACUUCGUAGUUAAGCACACUUGUGCUAGAGUAGUACUGGGAUGGGUGACCUCCCAGGAAGUCCUAGUGUUUUACAUGC
rfam:Picea glauca, whole genome shotgun sequence.